UGGUUGUCACCACAGCAAGACCACCCGUUAGGGGACUGGAGCUCAGAGGGUCCCUGGAGAACAGGACCAACGGUGUCUUUUCAUCAAAGAACGGCAGAACAGCGUCUUUUCACCAAAGAACAAACGACUGGGAGGUGGAGGCAGAUGCUCUGCGUUGGUCUCAGUUACAGACUCGGAAGUUGAGGGCGACUUCGGAGUCACAGAUUUGGUUGUCACCAAAGUUCCUUGUCUCAGCGACGAGGGGCUGCCUUAGACGUCAGGAUGAGGAGACUUCAAGCUGGCUCAUUCUAUCCUGGUAGAAGGGAAAUCCAGGCAUCGGGUCCUGCAGUGGUCAGCGCUGGCUCCGUCCGACUCCGUGCGAAUCGCCUUGGGUUUGUCCCUUUUGUCGCCGAGGCUCUGGAGAUGCUCAGACCGUAAGUGCCAGAACUGGCAGUCGGGGAACCUAGGGUCUUGAUAGCCUGGCGGUAAAAGCAGUUUUAGUGCAGAGGCUUGUGACGUUUCAAGGAGCGGUGUCACGCCCCACGCAUCGCGCUUUUAAAGAUCCUCCUUUGUUCGUGUCUACUUUUGUGGUUGUUGCCACAGUAAGAUCACCAGUUAGGGGACUGGAGCUCUGAGGGUCCCUGGAGAAAAGAACCAAAAGUGCCUUUUCACCAAAAGAUCCCUGAAGAACAAACGACUAUACAGGUAGGCUGAUGUGCUACCUUGGCCUCUUCAGUUACAGACUUGGAAAUUACAGGAAACUUCGGAGUCACAGAUAUUCGUUGUCACCAAGAUUGGGCGACCCGAAAAUAUUCACUUCAGAAUCCCAAGUUCCCAACUCCUUCGCGACUUCACUAAAGAAAGACCGAAUGACUCGAAGGGCAUCCCUGUCGCCUCUUCCGGUUUCCACUGAGGCAGAUAAAAAACGCCACGAAGCCCCGGGAUCCCCAAAACUUCUGGAACAGCUACAGUUUAAGCUGAGAGGAGCUUGGCAUCACUGAGACCCAGGACAGGCGUGGAUGAGCCGAGAGGACUCGUCCUUGAGACGUACUAGGGCGCGCUGGUCCUCCACUCUUUUCAACACGCAGUGACUCCACGGACCGCGAUAGUGUUCGGAGAGACCACCUCCCCCUGGCCCGGAGCAACGCAGAUCUUCUGGGAACAAAUACCCUGCCUCUCCUGAGCCACUAGUCUAGAAUCCCCGCCACUACCUAGCAGUCCAGUAGAGAGACUUGAUCUGGAGGCGGCCUGCCACCCUCCGCGUUAUCUAAAUGGUUUUGGCGAAUGUAUUCUGAAAUUGAUUAAAAUUGGCAAGACUUCAAAUAGUCACUUGUGGGUAAGAGGGAGAAGUGGGUGGCAGAACUCCGUCGCGGCCAGAGGACUGCUAGCAGUUUGUGCGUCGACCCAGACCGAGUUGAUGAAUGGGUUGAAAGAUUCCUCACCUGAGGUGCGGAGGUACAGGCAAACCUGCAGAAUGUAUCUGUGAACUCGAACUCGGGAGCAGCUUCCUGGUCUCCGGGACUGCAUGGCUGAUGAGUCCGAAAAUGCAGAAGCGAGGUUCUCACAGACUGCUCAAAAGCCUUUCAGGAUCAGAGCAUCUAUGCCAGAGCUUAGAAAUGGACUAGUGGAGAGGACGCCACUUCGCGCUUAGGCCGAGUGGAGUUUAGUCCAUGAAAUGCUGAACUCCAGGUAGUGCUGUACUGUGGGUAGCUCCGGUGAAGAGCAAAACAACCCUCCGAUAAUGCGGGUAUAGCUAUGAAGCUGGAAAGCAUGACAGCAUAGGCUGAAACGGUGGAGCUGAGAUUGUCCUAACUGCCCAAAAGUGUAGAGAAUGAGCUGAGAACCUAAACACACAAGAGAAAGUGAGAAGAAAAAGAAAGGCACUGUUUCUGCCCGGUUUCGAACCGGGGACCUCUCGCGUGUUAGGCGAGCGUGAUAACCACUACACUACAGAAACACCCUGAACUAAUAAGUUUUCCUAGUUUCUACGGAUGCAUUCAAAACUUGCUUAGGCCGUUGGUGACCCUACUCUACUCUGUUACUGCCAACUGAACACUCUGAUAAUGCACCUCGGGCGGAGCGGAGGAGGGAAGAGUUCACGGGAAGAAGCGCGGGAGUAGGGAUUCCCGCAUUGAGACGCAGCGCUGCAUCACAGGGGAAUCGCAUGCGUGUAAAACACACAGAGGAGGUUGGGAGAGCCUGAUUACCUGGAGACACCUCGAGGAGAAUGUUGUAGUCGCUGGAGAGCUUUUGAGAGAACCCGGGCAGGAGGUAGAGUUUAGAAAUGGAAAAUUGAGACUAGUGGGACGGAAGCCACAUUUCAUUCAGGCCAAGAGGAGGUUGGGCCAUGCGAUGCUGUUGGCCGUGCAGAUCCGUGAGAGCACAAAAACCCUCCAAUAACGCGGGCGAGUGAGCAAAGAGAUGGACAAGGAAAAGAUUCCAGAGAGGCGGGCAGAGAACUUACAAGUACUAAGUGGUUUAAGAAAAGUCUAAACCUGGUUAAACAGAAGAGAUUCUGCACCAGUGUCUGUGGAGUGAAGGAAUAGAAACGCUCAAAAACAACUGUCAAACACACAAACUAGAGCGUGCACGAUGUGGGUGUGAGAAACUGGCAGGACUUGGUGAUCCCACUGUUCUCUGCUAUUGCCAAUCGAGCCACACCAGCUCUCUUCUGUUUUUGAGGAUGGAUAGCAAACAUUUCAACUGUGGUGCUUCUCAUUCUGCCUGCUCAGCUGUGUCUCUUCUUCCUGGUUCAUUCCUCGGAGCAGCACCCUCGGUGUCUACAGUAAUUGACAUUACAUCAACGUCUGCUUGCAGGAGGGAAGGCCUGAAGCAAUGUCAGCAUCAGGGAAAAGACUAACUCAUGGCCUGGGUUGUGCACAGGCAUCUGAUCUUAUGCUAUUCCAAGCUGGGUGUUGAAAUGGAAGCGCAGUGGGUGACUACACGAUACAGUUGUGUUUUCAUUUCUCAAGGAAGGCUCUGACUGUCCUGCUGCUUGGCACACAACUUGCAUUUUGACUUUUUACCUUUAGAAUUUUCUUUCCAUUUUAAGUGGCUGAUUAUCUUUGGGGUUAGAGUUGGUGCUGGGCAAAUGUCAAUUAAGAAUAAACAUAUUGACAGCCAAGCAGGGCUGGCUCCAGUCCAUAGAAAUGUGAUCAAGCACUUUCUUCGCUGCAUAUACCCAGUGUUGUGGCUGGCACCACUGAUCACGGAAUCUUCUAAGUGCAGAGCUGAUGCCAGGCACCACUUGCAUCUCCAGAACUGAGUGCUAAGUAAUCAUAUUUUCUUUAUAAAGUUAGUUUGCCUGAAGAAUUACAUGGUUGACAAUAAAAAGCACAUUCAAACACCUUC
rnacentral:lncRNA from 1 species